GACGAACGCUGGCGGCGUGCUUAACACAUGCAAGCCGAACGGAAAGGCCCUGCUUUUGUGGGGUGCUCGAGUGGCGAACGGGUGAGUAACACGUGAGUAACCUGCCCUUGACUUUGGGAUAACUUCAGGAAACUGGGGCUAAUACCGGAUAGGAGCUCCUGCUGCAUGGUGGGGGUUGGAAAGUUUCGGCGGUUGGGGAUGGACUCGCGGCUUAUCAGCUUGUUGGUGGGGUAGUGGCUUACCAAGGCUUUGACGGGUAGCCGGCCUGAGAGGGUGACCGGCCACAUUGGGACUGAGAUACGGCCCAGACUCCUACGGGAGGCAGCAGUGGGGAAUAUUGCACAAUGGGCGGAAGCCUGAUGCAGCAACGCCGCGUGCGGGAUGACGGCCUUCGGGUCGUAAACCGCUUUCGCCUGUGACGAAGCGUGAGUGACGGUAAUGGGUAAAGAAGCACCGGCUAACUACGUG
rnacentral:rRNA from 1 species